rnacentral:tRNA from 1 species
CACCCGCGCGGCUCAGGUGGCAGGAGCGCCGUCAUGUAAAGACGGAGAUCGUGGGUUCGAGUCCCACCGCGGGAGG